AAAUAAAAACUGGGGAGUCCGAACUGGAGGCUGAGAGGAUGAAUUUAUUCAUCGACCCAUUGACCUGAUCCUGGUAAUGCAGGCGUAGGCAUUAAUAAUUUUUAAAAU
rnacentral:ncRNA from 1 species